rnacentral:tRNA from 1 species
GGAUUGUGGCUCAGUGGUAGAGUGCUUGCCUUAUAUGUAUGAGGCACUGGGUUCAAUUCUCAGCACCA